rnacentral:rRNA from 1 species
GACAGAGGUGCCGAGCGUUAGGCGGAAUCACUGGGCUUAAAGCGUGUGUAGGCGGAUCGUUAAGUACCUUGUGAAAUCCCACGGCUCAACCGUGGAACUGCUUGGUAUACUGGCGGUCUUGAGCCAGCUAGGGGCUACCGGAACAAAUGGUGGAGCGGUGAAAUGCGUAGAUAUCAUUUGGAACGCCAAUGGUGAAAACAGGUAGCUGGGGCUGUGCUGACGCUGAGACGCGAAAGCGUGGGGAGCAAACAGG